ensembl:miRNA
UGUAACAGCAACUCCAUGUGGAAGUUGCUUGUGUUCCAGUGGAGAUGCUGUUACCUGC